CGAACGGGUGAGUAACGCGUGAGGAACCUGCCUCAAAGAGGGGGACAACAGUUGGAAACACUGCUAAUACCGCAUAAGCCCACGGGUCGGCAUCGAUCUGAGGGAAAAGGAGUGAUCCGCUUUGAGAUGGCCUCGCGUCCGAUUAGCUAGUUGGUGAGGUAACGGCCCACCAAGGCGACGAUCGGUAGCCGGACUGAGAGGUUGAACGGCCACAUUGGGACUGAGACACGGCCCAG
rnacentral:rRNA from 1 species